rnacentral:rRNA from 1 species
GCAUAAUCAUUAGUCUUUUAAUUGAAGGCUGGUAUGAAUGGUUGGAUGAGAUACAAGCUGUGUCAUAAAAAUUAAUAUUUGAAUUUAACUUUUUAGUCAAAAGGCUAAAAUUAAGUUAAAAGACGAGAAGACCCUAUAGAGCUUUAUACAAUAAUUAUUUAAAUUAUUAAGAUUUUUUAAAUUUAAUUAUUUUUUUUUGUAUUUUGUUGGGGUGACAAUAAAAUUUAUUAAACUUUUAUUUUUAUUAAACAUUAAUUUAUGAGUAAAUGAUCCAAUUUUAUUGAUUAUAAAUUUAAGUUACCUUAGGGAUAACAGCGUAAUUUUUUUUAAGAGUUCUUAUCGA